GGGGAAGGGUGAGAACCUUCGAUUAAGGUUCGACUCGAGCGAAAGCGAGAGAACGUUGCCAACGGCAACGGCCCGUAGGGUGAGGAGCGAAGCGACGAAUAAUCCUUCCACCACCAUCA
rnacentral:sRNA from 1 species